AUUUACCUCGACUUCUUCAAGGUGAUCCGAACUUUAGUGGCAAAAACCGUCCUCGUUUCCUGCGGAGGAACUGUGCUUUCACUUCCUUGACAUUUCAGUAUAAAGGACAUUGCAGAUCAAAGUCGCCUCAUCAGAAACGGAAGCAAUUCGGCCCAGAAGAAUCGACACUAAAUUCGAACAGCCAUGCCUUCAGAAACGGAAAGUUUAAAAAUAUCGAACUUUAUUAUGCCCUCGUGGGAU